rnacentral:rRNA from 1 species
AGUCGAACGGAGCACCCUUGAUUGAGGUUUCGGCCAAAUGAUAGGAACGCUUAGUGGCGGACUGGUGAGUAACGCGUGAGGAACCUGCCUUUCAGAGGGGGACAACAGUUGGAAACGACUGCUAAUACCGCAUGACGCAUUUUGAUCGCAUGGUCGAAAUGCCAAAGAUUUAUCGCUGAAAGAUGGCCUCGCGUCUGAUUAGCUAGUUGGUGAGGUAACGGCCCACCAAGGCGACGAUCAGUAGCCGGACUGAGAGGUUGACCGGCCACAUUGGGACUGAGAUACGGCCCAGACUCCUACGGGAGGCAGCAGUGGGGAAUAUUGGGCAAUGGGCGCAAGCCUGACCCAGCAACGCCGCGUGAAGGAAGAAGGCUUUCGGGUUGUAAACUUCUUUUAAGUGGGAAGAGUAGAAGACGGUACCACUUGAAUAAGCCACGGCUAACUACGUGCCAGCAGCCGCGGUAAUACGUAGGUGGCAAGCGUUGUCCGGAUUUACUGGGUGUAAAGGGCGUGCAGCCGGGCAUGCAAGUCAGAUGUGAAAUCUCAGGGCUUAACCCUGAAACUGCAUUUGAAACUGUAUGUCUUGAGUGCCGGAGAGGUAAUCGGAAUUCCUUGUGUAGCGGUGAAAUGCGUAGAUAUAAGGAAGAACACCAGUGGCGAAGGCGGAUUACUGGACGGUAACUGACGGUGAGGCGCGAAAGCGUGGGGAGCGAACAGGAUUAGAUACCCUGGUAGUCCACGCUGUAAACGAUGGAUACUAGGUGUGCGGGGACUGACCCC